rnacentral:rRNA from 1 species
GACGAACGCUGGCGGCGUGCUUAACACAUGCAAGUCGAACGGAAAGGCCCUGCUUGCAGGGUACUCGAGUGGCGAACGGGUGAGUAACACGUGGGUGAUCUGCCCUGCACUUCGGGAUAAGCCUGGGAAACUGGGUCUAAUACCGGAUAGGAGCCAUUUUUAGUGUGAUGGUUGGAAAGUUUUUUUCGGUGUAGGAUGAGCUCGCGGCCUAUCAGCUUGUUGGUGGGGUAAUGGCCUACCAAGGCGGCGACGGGUAGCCGGCCUGAGAGGGUGGACGGCCAAAUUGGGAUGGAGAAAGGGCCAAAACCCCGAGGGGAGGAAGAAGGGGGGAAAAUUGAAAAAGGGGGGAAAGCCUGAGGAGGGGAGCCCGGGGGGGGGAUGAAGGCCUUCGGGUUGAAAACUCUUUUCGCUAGGGAAGAAGCUUUUUGGGAGGGUAAUUAGAAAAAAAGCACCGGCUAAAUAGGU